rnacentral:lncRNA from 1 species
UUUAAAUGUGUUUAAAAUUGUAAAUACAGAAAUCGCAAAUUGCCCUUAAAUCACUCUAUGACUAUAUUGUGUUACUUUGGUAAUUUCUUCAUACAUUUGCUUCCUGUUUUAUCAGAUUGGAGUUGACCGCAAGGUUGAGUAAACUGUUGCUGCCAAACCCUCAAAUUGGGGGAAAAACCAUGACACAUUGGAAAUGUUUAGUUAGGGAUGUGUGUUCUCUUUUAUGAAUCAUUAUGAUGAUGGUGUGUGUGUGUCUGUCGGCGUGUGUUAUGUGUGUGUGUGUGUGUGUCUUUCGGCGUGUGUGUCCUGGCGGCGGUGUGUGUGUGUCUGUCGCGUGUGUGGGUUGUGUUGUUGUUGUCUGUCGGCGGGUGUGUGGCUGUCGGCGUUUGGGUAUUGUAUGUGGGCGUGUGUGUGUGUGUGCGUGUCUGCCUGUGUUUCUCUGCAGAUGGAAGACUAAGACUCUACAGGCUGGCUGCUGUGUGUUUAGGAGUGCUGUGUGCUCUACAAGUCACUCUCAACAUCUCCCUGAGGCUGGCUUUCUCCGGCUCUAACGACGAGAGAAACCAGUUAGAGACCUGUUACAACACCACCAGCCUGCCGCAAGACAGAGACCAGUCAGAUACCAGUAGUCGUGUCAUUGACCUGUGUACAGAAAGAGACCAGCUGCAGAAGGAGAGAGACCAGUGCCGGAAGAACAUGAACCAGCUAGAGAGGAUGAGAGGCCAGUUACUGAGGGAGAGAGACCAGUUACAGAGUGAGAGAGACCAGUUACUAAAGGAGAGAGACCAGUUACAGAGUGAGAGAGACCAGUUACAGAGUGAGAGAGACCAGUUACCGGAGUGAGAGAGGACCAGUUACGGAGUGAGAGAGAACAGUCAGAGAAAACCGAUGACAAAUACAGUUACAGGAGCGUAAUAAUGCCCUGACUAAAGACAGGGACAUGUUGAGAGACAGGGUCAGUGUUCUGACCAAUGAGAAGGUGGCGCUGGAGAAGAGUCUCUGUGAGUGGUAAGUAGUCAGUCAGACACAUAGGGCUGCAUCCCCUCUCUACCCUUCAUUCUCCGGAAGGGUGAAUUUACAGUCUGACCUCAAAUACUAGACAUCACUAGUAAAAUAAAUCUGUGGCACUCCAAUUACUGUGAUAUGUUACGUUUGGUAUAGUUACAAAAGAGAGAAGGUUACUUAAGGCAAAAAAAGAAGGGAUGUAAAGGUUUUCCUCCUCUUCCUCUGAAGAGCAGAGGCGAGAGGAUCGGAGGACCCCAUAUGCGGCGUGGUAAGUGUCCAUGGUUCUUUCAA